GGGCUCGUAGUGUAGCGGUUAACACAUCUUCCUGUCACGAAGAAAACCGCCGGUUCGAAUCCGGUCGAGCCCG
rnacentral:tRNA from 1 species